GCCGUGCAGCCGCACCAGCGCCAGCUGCUCGUGCGCGUCGUUGUUGAGCAGCAGCGCUCGCAGCCCCAGCUGCUCCCCGCGCCGGCACGACGCCGGCCCCUCCAGGGUGAAGCCUGUGCAGCGCGAUCGAGCGGGGUUUUACCUGGACGGGCUCGUCGACGGCGGUGAAGCCGAGGGUCUUGCUGACGCUGAAGCCGGUGAAGAAGUAGUCGUCGCCCACCGGCGGGAUCUCCAUGGAGAAACGUGCCAACCAGUGUCAACGGAACGGGAAUGUACCAGGAGGUUGGUACACGACGCACCUCGUAGCCCUGGAAGCCGUCGACGGGCAGGAAGACCUUGUCGGCCAGCAGCUCCCCGCCGGGGGCCACGUGGUAAACCAGCAGGGUGAAGCCGGGCGCCAUCCGGCGCGCCACGGGCAGCGCGAGCGUGGUGACCGUGCCGAGCGUGUCCUGCACCGGCUGCUGCCCGGCGUGCAGGAGCUGGCCCUUGGACAGCACCUGGGACACCGCCACGAUCGGACGUGGUCAUGCGGAAAGGAACCAACCCACAAUUCUGUUGUUAUAUUUUAUUUGAAAACAAAUUAAAAUAGUGUACAAGGCUGAUCGUACCGUCGUUGCUAUUAUUACGUCAGCUUUUAUAUACUAGACCAUUAAAAUUGUAUGUACCAACAUUAUCUUAUCAGUAGGAGAAUCCAUUGGCGUAGCUGUGUUCAUAAUGUUGGGGAGGACAAAUAAUGAUUUUGAUGUCAUGUAAACCUAUUCCCUUCUUACUAAGACAGGGGGUCCGGGGUUCCUCCACAGGAAAAUUUUGAUUUUAAAAGUGCAAAAUAGCGCUUUUUAAGCAGUUUUUGUAUCUAACCAUUGGAUACAUCGAUGUUAAAAUUAUUAUUGUUUCCUUAAGAUAAAAUUUGAUGAGUGAAGAAAUUACAAAUAAAGUUGGGCAGAAUAAUAUUAUAAAAUAAAAAUAUCACGGUCUAGAAAGUUGGGGGGGACAGUCCCCUCCACCCAAAAGGUUCAGGGGGACACGUCCCCCUUGUCCCUCCCGGUUCCUACGCCCCUGGGAGAACCACAAUUCAUAGUUAACUUUUAACUUUAAAAUACUCAGAAUAGGUUUCACGUGGGUGAGGUUCCUUUUUUUGCAUAACUACGUCCAAUUAUGCUCGGCAGAAAAAAAAAAAAAAAGAAGGUUUUGUGAGCCGCGACGGAAGACCUUAACUUUCCGGUCCGACUCCAGUUUUCAGAAGGAAUUACGUGGGGUUUCAGGCCGAUUAUUAGAAGUGCGUCAAGCUAUAGUAAUAUUGGUUGGGGAAAUUCUGAAAAUAAAUCAAGAUUCGUUUUGCAGAUAUACGAAUGUGUGGGCUUAGUUAAUGGUUCUAUAUGUUUUAACCUUGGACAGCACCAGAAUUAUGUUCAGUAGAAAAAAAAGAAGGUUUUGUGAGCCGCGACGGAAAACAUAACUUUCCGGUCUGACUUCAGUUUUCGAAGGAAUUAUUUGGGUUUAAAGCCAAUUGUUAGCACGCCAACAUAGAAUGUUGAAGUGCAUCAAGCUAUUGUAAUAUUGGUGGGGAAAUUCUGAAAAUAAAUCAAGAUUUGUUUUGCAGGUAUACGUAUGUGGGCUAUGUUAAUGGUUCUAUAUGUUAUAACCUUGGACAGCACCUGCAGUGAAGUACACACCGUGGUGUGUCCACAGCCCGUUCAAACAUGCUUCGAGCUGGGUCGAGAUUAUGUGGCGAACUACGAUGAAACCGAAAUAGUACCGAAAUGCAAGUCAUGUCGUGGAAUUACAUGGCGUUAAACCAAAACUUAAUUCAAAUCGUAAAAAAAAGUAAGUUAUAUUUUAAUGUCUGAAAUUCAAGGAAUGUCGUUUCCGAACA